rnacentral:rRNA from 1 species
CCAGACUCCUACGGGAGGCAGCAGUGGGGAAUAUUGCACAAUGGGCGAAAGCCUGAUGCAGCAACGCCGCGUGAGUGAUGAAGGCCUUCGGGUCGUAAAACUCUGUCCUCAAGGAAGAUAAUGACGGUACUUGAGGAGGAAGCCCCGGCUAACUACGUGCCAGCAGCCGCGGUAAUACGGGGGGUGCAAGCGUUGUCCGGAAUCAUUGGGCGUAAAGAGUUCGUAGGCGGCACGUAAAGUCUGGUGUUAAAGGCAGAGGCUCAACUUCUGUACGGCACUGGAUACUUGCGAGCUAGAAUGCGGUAGAGGUAAAGGGAAUUCCUGGUGUAGCGGUGAAAUGCUUAGAUAUCAGGAGGAACAUCGGUGGCGUAAGCGCUUUACUGGGCCGUAAUUGACGCUGAGGAACGAAAGCCAGGGUAGCAAAUGGGAUUAGAUACCCCCGUAC